rnacentral:ncRNA from 1 species
AACCGCCGUAUGCCGAACGGCACGUACGGUGGUGUGAGAGGAAAGGAAACGAGUAGGAAAGAAAACCAUCGUUUCCCUACCUACUCGAU